rnacentral:rRNA from 1 species
AUACGGAGGGUGCAAGCGUUAUUCGGAAUCACUGGGCGUAAAGGACGCGUAGGCGGGUUGGCAAGUCAGAUGUGAAAUCCUACAGCUUAACUGUAGAACUGCAUUUGAAACUGCUAACCUAGAGUGUGGGAGGGGGAGAUGGAAUUAGUGGUGUAGGGGUAAAAUCCGUAGAUAUCACUAGGAAUACCGAAAGCGAAGGCGAUCUCCUGGAACAUAACUGACGCUAAGGCGUGAAAGCGUGGGGAGCAAACAGGAUUAGAUACCCCAGUAGUCC